rnacentral:rRNA from 1 species
AUACGAAGGGUGCAAGCGUUAAUCGGAAUUACUGGGCGUAAAGCGCGCGUAGGUGGUUCAGCAAGUUGGAUGUGAAAGCCCCGGGCUCAACCUGGGAACUGCAUCCAAAACUACUGAGCUAGAGUACGGUAGAGGGUGGUGGAAUUUCCUGUGUAGCGGUGAAAUGCGUAGAUAUAGGAAGGAACACCAGUGGCGAAGGCGCCCACCUGGACUAAUACUGACACUGAGGUGCGAAAGCGUUGGGAGCAAAAAGGAUUAUAUGCCCUGUUAGUCCACGCCGUAAACGAUGUCAACUAGUUGUUGGGUUCCUUGAGAACUUAGUAACGAAGCUAACGCGAUAAGUUGACCGCCUGGGGAGUACGGCCGCAAGGUUAAAACUCAAAUGAAUUGACGGGG